rnacentral:rRNA from 1 species
UAACAGCAUACUAAGGCGACGACGGGUAGCCGGCGUGAGAGGGCGACCGGCCACACUGGGAGUGAGACACGGCCCAGACUCCUACGGGAGGCAGCAGUGGGGAAUAUUGCGCAAUGGGCGAAAGCCUGACGCAGCGACGCCGCGUGGGGGAUGAAGGCCUUCGGGUUGUAAACCCCUUUCGGCAGGGACGAAGCGAAAGUGACGGUACCUGCAGAAGAAGCGCCGGCUAACUACGUGCCAGCAGCCGCGGUAACACGUAGGGCGCAAGCGUUGUCCGGAAUCAUUGGGCGUAAAGAGCUGGUAGGUGGUCUGUUGCGUCCGCUGUGAAAAUAUUAUUAACCCCGAGCUUGCAGUGGAUACGGGCAGACUAGAGGUAGGUAGGGGAGAAUGGAAUUCCCGGUGUAGCGGUGAAAUG